AGUGAACGCUGGCGGUAGGCCUAACACAUGCAAGUCGAACGGCAGCACAGUAAGAGCUUGCUCUUACGGGUGGCGAGUGGCGGACGGGUGAGGAAUACAUCGGAAUCUACUUUUUCGUGGGGGAUAACGUAGGGAAACUUACGCUAAUACCGCAUACGACCUACGGGUGAAAGCAGGGGAUCUUCUGACCUUGCGCGAUUGAAUGAGCCGAUGUCGGAUUAGCUAGUUGGCGGGGUAAAGGCCCACCAAGGCGACGAUCCGUAGCUGGUCUGAGAGGAUGAUCAGCCACACUGGAACUGAGACACGGUCCAGACUCGUACGGGAGGCAGCAGUGGGGAAUAUUGGACAGUGGGCGCAAGCCUGAUCCAGCCAUACCGCGUGGGUGAAGAAGGCCUUCGGGUUGUAAAGCCCUUUUGUUGGGAAAGAAAAGCAGCAGGUUAAUACCCCGCUGUUCUGACGGUACCCAAAGAAUAAGCACCGGCUAACUUCGU
rnacentral:rRNA from 1 species